rnacentral:rRNA from 1 species
CACGUAGGGGGCAAGCGUUGUCCGGAUUUAUUGGGCGUAAAGAGCUCGUAGGCGGCUCGGUAAGUCGGGUGUGAAAACUCAGGGCUCAACCCUGAGACGCCACUCGAUACUGCUGUGGCUUGAGUCCGGUAGGGGAGCGUGGAAUUCCUGGUGUAGCGGUGAAAUGCGCAGAUAUCAGGAGGAACACCGGUGACGAAGGCGGCGCUCUGGGCCGAUACUGACGCUGAGGAGCGAAAGCGUGGGGAGCAAACAGG